UACGUAGGGUGCAAGCGUUGUCCGGAAUUAUUGGGCGUAAAGGAGCUCGUGAGCGGUUUGUCGCGUCGAAUGUGAAAACCCGGGGCUCAACCCCGGGCCUGCAUUCGAUACGGCAGACUAGAGUUCGGUAGGGGAGUCUGGAAUUCCUGGUGUAGCGGUGAAAUGCGCAGAUAUCAGGAGGAACACCGGUGGCGAAGGCGGGACUCUGGGCCGAUACUGACGCUGAGGAGCGAAAGCGUGGGGAGCAAACAGG
rnacentral:rRNA from 1 species